AAUGUACUCCCUCCGUUCCUAAAUAUUUGUCUUUCUAGACAUUUCAAAUGACUACUACAUACGGAUGUAUGUAGACAUAUUUUAGAGUGUAGAUUCACUCAUUUUGCUCCGUAUGUAGUCACUUGUUGAAAUGCCUAGAAAGACAAGUAUUUAGGAACGGAGGGAGUAUAAU
rnacentral:pre_miRNA from 1 species